AAAUGGUAAACACAGAAAUGAAAGGGAGAAACACAAUAUGAAACCCCCUAGAGCCUGGCAGCUAUUGAGGCGUGGCUUCCUUUUAGUCAUGGUCGGCGUUACAAACCGGGACUAAAGAUCCUCCUGCCAGGCCUCCCACGGCGGUCACGUGAAGUUCCUUUAGUCCCGAUUCGUAAGCAAAUCGGGACUAAAAAUAUUGGGCAUUAGUCCCGAUACAUUUGUCCUGGUUUCAGAACCAAGACUAAAUGCCCUUUUAAACUGGGAUUGAUGCCUUGUUUUCCACUAGUGAUAGUAGAGAAGAAGUGAUGGAAAAAGAGCAAAGACUAAUCAUCGUAAGAAGGAAUUAAUGGAGACUAUAACGGUGAAUGCGAACGUGCUCUGAUUGAGCCGGUUCCAAAGGCGUUGGAAAGAUCUAGGGAAACUAGGAUACAAAGACUUCUAAUUCUAGCGAUCAGGAUGAUUUUACACACGCACACCCCGUGCACACGUGCGCAAAGUCUGAGCCCCAUAAAAGGCUGUUUAGACUAUCAAAAAGGGCUUACAAAGUUUGGAAAACUAUUUGUUUGUGCAAUUUCACCUCGAAAUUCGAAGGGGCACUACGUCUGUACGGUCUUCAGUUAAGAAGAAUCCCACCGAUGAGCGUCUACGAUAAGAUGUUACACUCAUAUCCCUCUUUGUCUUGUCUACGUGUUAUGGCCAGCAGCAGCAGCCCUCUCCAAGCAUUGCAAUCGGCGCCCGCAUUGUCCACGACGGAGCUUUUUCGAUAUAGUUCCCAUAGUUAUCUGUUCGGGAGAAGUAUAUUGAUAUCUUGUUCACAUAAAGCCAUGCUAGUUUAGUUUUCCAUCAGCUAAAAGGUAUUGUACGCAGAAAAAUCGAAACAUUGUUAAUGUGGUGGUACCUUGGAUUAUGAUAGGGGUGCAGCGAUGUCACUCCGGCCAACAAUGUGCAUGUUUGUAUCUCUUUGCAGUGAGAAAAACAACAGGGCCGCGUCCACUGGGUCCACCGACUAGGAAAUUAAGAGACA
rnacentral:lncRNA from 1 species